GACGAACGCUGGCGGCGUGCUUAACACAUGCAAGUCGAACGGAAAGGCCUGCUUUCCCUUGUGGAUUGCGGGUACUCGAGUGGCGAACGGGUGAGUAACACGUGAGUGAUCUGCACCCAACUUGGGUAUAAGCCUGGGAAACUGGGUCUAAUUCCCGAUAGGACUGCAGGGUGGUGCCUGUGGUGGAAAACGAUUUUCUAGUGGUUGGGGAUGAGCUCGCGGCCUAUCAGCUUGUUGGUGGGGUAAUGGCCUACCAAGGCGGCGACGGGUAGCCGGCCUGAGAGGGUGGACGGCCACAUUGGGACUGAGAUACGGCCCAGACUCCUACGGGAGGCAGCAGUGGGGAAUAUUGCACAAUGGGCGGAAGCCUGAUGCAGCGACGCCGCGUGGGGGAUGACGGCCUUCGGGUUGUAAACUCCUUUCGACCGCGAGGAAGCCACCUGGUUGGAAGGGUGGUGACGGUAGUGGUAGAAGAAGCACCGGCUAACUACGUG
rnacentral:rRNA from 1 species